rnacentral:rRNA from 1 species
GACGAACGCUGGCGGCGUGCCUAAUACAUGCAAGUCGAACGAGUGGCGGACGGGUGAGUAAUGUCUGGGAAACUGCCCGAUGGAGGGGGAUAACUGAUGGCAACAGUAGCUAAUACCGCAUACCAUCGGAUGUGCCCAGAUGGGAUUAGCUAGUAGGGGGGGUAACGGCUCACCUAGGCGACGAUCCCUAGCUGGUAUGAGAGGAUGACCCGCCACACUGGAACUGAGACACGGUCCAGACUCCGACGGGAGGCAGCAGUGGGGAAUAUUGCACAAUGGGCGCAAGCCUGAUGCAGCCAUGCCGCGUGUAUGAAGAAGGCCUGCGGGUUGUAAAGUACUUUCAGCGAGGAGGCGUUACUCGCAGAAGAAGCACCGGCUAACUCCGUGCCAGCAGCCGCGGUAAUUC